GAGUUUGAUCGUGGCUCAGAACGAACGCUGGCGGCAUGCCUAACACAUGCAAGUCGAACGAAGGCUUCGGCCUUAGUGGCGCACGGGUGCGUAACGCGUGGGAAUCUGCCCUUUGCUUCGGAAUAACAGUGGGAAACUACUGCUAAUACCGGAUGAUGUCUUCGGACCAAAGAUUUAUCGGCAAGGGAUGAGCCCGCGUAGGAUUAGGUAGUUGGUGGGGUAAAGGCCUACCAAGCCGACGAUCCUUAGCUGGUCUGAGAGGAUGAUCAGCCACACUGGGACUGAGACACGGCCCAGACUCCUACGGGAGGCAGCAGUGGGGAAUAUUGGACAAUGGGGGGAACCCUGAUCCAGCAAUGCCGCGUGAGUGAUGAAGGCCUUC
rnacentral:rRNA from 1 species